rnacentral:rRNA from 1 species
GAUGAACGCUGGCGGCGUGCUUAACACAUGCAAGUCGAACGGGAAUUACUUUAUUUAAACUUCGGUCGAUUUAAUUCAAUUCUAGUGGUGGACGGGUGAGUAACGCGUGGGUAACGUGCCUUAUACAGGGGGAUAACAGUCAGAAAUGGCAGAUAAUCUCUCAUAAGCGCACAGAGGUGCAUGGCUUGGAGUGAAAAAAUUCGGUGGUAUGCGAUGGAUCUAUGUUGGAUUAGCUUGUUGGUGGGGUAACGGCCCAGCAAGGCGACGAUCCAUAUCUGGGCUGGGGAGGUGACCGGCCACAUUGGGGCUGGGAGACGGACCAGAUUCCCACGGAAGGCAGAAGUGGUGAAUAUUGCACGAUGGGGGAGACACGAAUGCAGCCACGCCGCGUGAAGGAGUAAGUAUCUCGGUAUGUAAGCGACUGUCAGAAGGGAAGAAAGUGACGGUACCUGACUAAGAAGCCCCGGCUAACUACGUG